GGGGUGCUCGAAAGAGAGCCGUAACACAGGUGCUGCAUGGCUGUCGUCAGUUCGUGUCGUGAGAUGUUGGGUUAAGUCCCGCAACGAGCGCAACCCUUGUCAUUAGUUGCUACAUUCAGUUGGGCACUCUAAUGAGACUGCCGGUGACAAGCCGGAGGAAGGUGGGGAUGACGUCAAGUCCUCAUGGCCCUUAUAGGUGGGGCUACACACGUCAUACAAUGGCUGGUACAAAGGGUUGCCAACCCGCGAGGGGGAGCCAAUCCCAUAAAGCCAGUCGUAGUCCGGAUCGUAGUCUGCAACUCGACUACGUGAAGUCGGAAUCGCUAGUAAUCGUGGAUCAGAAUGUCACGGUGAAUACGUUCCCGGGUCUU
rnacentral:rRNA from 1 species